rnacentral:rRNA from 1 species
AUUGAACGCUGGCGGCAUGCUUUACACAUGCAAGUCGAACGGCAGCGCGGGCUUCGGCCUGGCGGCGAGUGGCGAACGGGUGAGUAAUGCAUCGGAACGUGCCCAGUAGUGGGGGAUAGCCCGGCGAAAGCCGGAUUAAUACCGCAUACGACCUGAGGGUGAAAGCGGGGGACCGAAAGGCCUCGCGCUAUUGGAGCGGCCGAUGUCGGAUUAGCUAGUUGGUGGGGUAAAGGCUUACCAAGGCGACGAUCCGUAGCUGGUCUGAGAAGACGACCAGCCACACUGGGACUGAGACACGGCCCAGACUCCUACGGGAGGCAGCAGUGGGGAAUUUUGGACAAUGGGGGCAACCCUGAUCCAGCCAUGCCGCGUGCGGGAAGGAGGCCUUCGGGUUGUAAACCGCUUUUGUUCGGGAAGAAAUCCUCUGGGCUAAUACCCCGGGGGGAUGACGGUACCGGAAGAAUAAGCACCGGCUAACUACGUG